rnacentral:lncRNA from 1 species
UCCUUUCUCUCUCCUCCCGUUCCGCAUCCUUCUCCUUUUGCACCGGCCGCCGUCGAUCGCCGCCGGAGGUGAGAGUGAGCUUAGCUGAGGUGAGGUGAGGUGGCCUUGAUCUCGAGCGGAGCCCGGGGCUAAUCACGAUUUGGCUAAACUUAACCGCGCUAUUAUUAGUGGUUGUUAAACUCACGCGCGCCACGAAGAGGAGGAGGAGAGAGAGUGGGGGCGUGGAGGCGCGGAGGAGGAGGAGGAGGCUAUGGAGGCCCUGAGGUUCGUGCGC